rnacentral:lncRNA from 1 species
AAUAAGAGUAGAAUGUACAUGAGUAAGCAAGCACAGGAAUCUGAAAACCACAGGUAACCUGGCACUCUGUUCAAGGUCUGAACUGUCUCCUUGAAGCCAUUGAAAUGUAGAGCUGGAAGGGACAGCUGGAUC